AGAGUUUGAUUAUGGCUCAGGAUGAACGCUGGCGGCGUGCCUAACACAUGCAAGUUGAGCGAUUACUUCGGUAAAGAGCGGCGGACGGGUGAGUAACGCGUGGGUAACCUGCCUCAUACACAUGGAUAACAUACCGAAAGGUAUGCUAAUACAGGAUAAUAUAAGAGAUUCACAUGGAUUUCUUAUCAAAGCUCCGGCGGUAUGAGAUGGACCCGCGUCUGAUUAGCUAGUUGGUAAGGUAAUGGCUUACCAAGGCGACGAUCAGUAGCCGACCUGAGAGGGUGAUCGGCCACAUUGGAACUGAGACACGGUCCAAACUCCUACGGGAGGCAGCAGUGGGGAAUAUUGCACAAUGGGCGAAAGCCUGAUGCAGCAACGCCGCGUGAGUGAUGAAGGCCUUCGGGUCGUAAAACUCUGUCCUCAAGGAAGAUAAUGACGGUACUUGAGGAGGAAGCCCCGGCUAACUACGUGCCAGCCGCCGC
rnacentral:rRNA from 1 species